UUAGAAUAUCAUUCUACAAAUUAAUUUCCCAUUUUCCCAUUAGUUUCUUUUUUGUUAUGUUUUUUCAACUGAUCAUGUUUAAGUUUCUCCCUCAUAUUUCUUCAAUUCUUUUAAAUUCUCCUCCAUCUUGUUCAUUAUGCACCAUUGAUCCUGUACCUAUCAGUAUACCAGUACCAGUAUAUAUAUCAUCAUGAAAUUCAUCAUUUUCAAGUUCAAGAUGCCACCUCUUGAUUCCCAAAAUUUAUCAUAUCAUGCAUAAAUAAUUUUGCAUAGCCCAACUAUCAAAAAUUAAUUAUUGUAUGAACUUGCCUCGGAAUCAAUCCUUUAUGUCAUCAAUCAAGAUUGACACGACUGCACAUUAUGAAGCGUCUGUUCAAUUCUCAAUUUACACGCCAUGAUUGAUAAAUUUCUAUAAGCCUGCCUCAUAAGGAGUCUGCGAUCCUUAUGUUUCAAGGAGAAAGACGAUGAUCGUGAUGCACCACAAAAGUUGGGUACAAUUGUGGGGAAGAACCAGAACAAUCCGUCAUCUGGAAGGCUCAUACCAUGAAAGAGAAAUAAUUUCCUUUCUUGGGUGGAGUGUAGGCAGUUUAGUGGGUAUGCGCCCAGUUUUGCUUUUUCAACAAUAGUAGAUAUACCUUCAGCAUCCAAUAUAUAUAUUCCAUUGUUGAACAAGCAAAUCAGGGAAAGUGAGUCCCACACAUGGUGAUCCCAUCUUUCAGAUGAGAGCAUUAUAGUGCAUAACAGCAUUCUGCCGUCUCGUUUGAAAAAACGAGUAAAACAAAA
rnacentral:misc_RNA from 1 species